UGUGAGCUGCACGGCACACGAAUAUCGACACUUUGAACGCACAUGGCGGCCCUCU
rnacentral:rRNA from 1 species